AAGUCGUAACAAGGUUUCCGUAGGUGAACCUGCGGAAGGAUCAUUACCGAUUUUAGCGAACCCGGUCGCUUCUGACUGAGGUCUCGCAACCUGUAUUUAAAACCCACGCUUUUUUUAAUAAAAAAAAAUUAUCGUAUCAAAUUAUGAUAAAAAAGAUCACUUUCAACAACGGAUCUCUUGGUUCUC
rnacentral:misc_RNA from 1 species